CAGCCAGCUAUUACUUACAAAUAUGUAGUUUUGCUGCUUUUCGCUCGUUGGUAACUGUUCCCAAAUUUCGGACUGUUGCAACACAAUUAAUGCUUUUAUCUUCGACGCUUUCAAGGCCUUCGCUUGUUAUUUCGUCACAGCGAGAAGCAAAACAUCAUGGCGAAAGAAGCGCAAUGAGGAGCAGCAGGUAGCUGUUCAGAGCAUUUACCUUCAGUAUUUGGACAGGUUCUUGAAUAGUGGUUGAUCAGGAAGAACACAUGCUGUAGCAAUAGGAAUAAAUUCCAUUGUCACAAUACUCAGCUAAGGAGAAAACAUUGAGGGGGUGGUUCAACCUCAUAAUUUAGAGUACCUUGGCUAUUUCCUUGACCAACACUCAGAAACUUACAUUAAUAAUGGCACCGAGAAAUAAG